rnacentral:rRNA from 1 species
GUUGUAUGGUUAAGUGACUAAGCGUACACGGUGGAUGCCUUGGCAGUCAGAGGCGAUGAAGGACGUAGUAACUUGCGAUAAGCGUAGAUGAGGCAGUAACAGCCACUUGAGUCUACGAUUUCCGAAUGGGGAAACCCACUGGCAUAAGCCAGUAUCAUUGAGUGAAUACAUAGCUCAAUGAAGCGAACCGGGAGAACUGAAACAUCUAAGUACCCCGAGGAAAAGAAAUCAACCGAGAUUCCGAAAGUAGCGGCGAGCGAAAUUGGAUUAGCCCUUAAGCUUUACAUGUGUUAGACGAACGGUCUGGAAAGUCCGACGAUACAGGG